rnacentral:rRNA from 1 species
CCUACGGGAGGCUGCAGUGGGGAAUAUUGCACAAUGGGCGCAAGCCUGAUGCAGCCAUGCCGCGUGUGUGAAGAAGGCCUUCGGGUUGUAAAGCACUUUCAGCGGGGAGGAAGGCGGUGAGGUUAAUAACCUCAUCGAUUGACGUUACCCGCAGAAGAAGCACCGGCUAACUCCGUGCCAGCAGCCGCGGUAAUACGGAGGGUGCAAGCGUUAAUCGGAAUUACUGGGCGUAAAGCGCACGCAGGCGGUCUGUCAAGUCGGAUGUGAAAUCCCCGGGCUCAACCUGGGAACUGCAUUCGAAACUGGCAGGCUAGAGUCUUGUAGAGGGGGGUAGAAUUCCAGGUGUAGCGGUGAAAUGCGUAGAGAUCUGGAGGAAUACCGGUGGCGAAGGCGGCCCCCUGGACAAAGACUGACGCUCAGGUGCGAAAGCGUGGGGAGCAAACAGGAGUAGAUACCCCGGUAGUC